rnacentral:lncRNA from 1 species
CCUGCCUAUUGAAGCUUGAGAGAAUGGAAGGCAAGUAAAAACCCCGGGACGUUGGCUGCACCUCAGAAUGAAGUCAUGAGCCUGGAUAUGUGAACGCCCUACCAAGAGCAUCUCAGCUGACUAGGGCUGAUUAGUUUAACUGAAAGUAUAUUUUAAAGAGCAAGGAGUUGCAGCAAGGCUGUGCUGAACUACAGCACUGUUGGCAAACUCUUUGCUCUUUAGACAGCUUUCAAAAUGUGCAGUGAGGACGUAGGGAAUAAUUAUAGAUCCUCUAUUAGCAAUCCAACUUCAAGAAAGCAGCAGUUUAGAACAAAAUAUGCAGAAUGCUACAUUCUGAGCACCGUUCUGCAAGUCUGCUUAGCACACAGUUAUUUGAAAACACUGCAUCUUACGAAGACACUGAAUCUGGCUGUAAUUUUGUUACCACUUUCCCAUUUUCUGGCUGAGAAGGAAAAAAAGUCCCUCCGCAAUAGUUACCAGUACUUACAUAUAUGUAAAAUGCUACAAUGGAUACAUUUUUGAAGUCAAGUGCUGCAUCAAUCUCAUCCAUAAAAUACAGUGGUGUUGGCUUGUAAUGAUGAAGUGCAAAAACUAAAGCCAGUGAACUAAGAGUCUUCUCUCCUCCUGAUAAGUUAAAUAUCUUCUUCCAGCUUUUCUUUGGAGGCCGAACACUGAAAUAAAAUCAGAGUUUGUAAAUUACUUCUGUUCAUGAAUAAAAGGAAUAUGCCGUGGUGAAAAGCAAGUCACAAGGCAGCAGGGAAUUCAUGGAGCAGCUCCCUGGGUACGCACACAGCUAUGUGGUCAGCUGAUGUUUGCCUGAACUGGAGCUAUUGUAACACUCAUCUGUUCUCUGUGGGAACUGCAACACUUAAGAACUACUAUUUAAUUACAUUUCAAAAGUGUUAUUCUAUUCUUAAAGUAAUGAACAUACUUUUAGGCCAUUUAUGACAGAACAAUGUCUGCUUACCACUAGGAUUUGACAUGAUUUCUUGGGCAAAUGAAAUGGUUUGGAAAACAAGAAACCUGAGAAAUUACUUUGAAAUGAAAGCUAACUGCUGUUUGUUAGUUAUGUUUCUUGAAGUGAAACGAACCUCUUCAUUACUCAGUGCUAAAAAGUUGUGGCUUCAGUGAGUAUCUUGCCAGUGUUUGCCAAGAGGUGAGACUACCGUGGUUAGCUGAUGUCACCAACAAUUUACUGUAAAAAUGGAUUUUAAAAAGGCAAUACAGUGAUUAAGAAUUGCAGCAACAAUACCACGUAUUUUCACAUACCUGAACAUGAUUCCCUCAGAGAAGGGAUCCAAACUGUCUACAAGUUCUAAUUCAGCAUCUCCUCCCAAAGUAAGCAUCUGGUAGUUCUCCUUCAGUUUAUUUGUUAUUACAUUAAAUCCCGCCAUAAAUUCAUUGAGCCUCUGCUUCCUGAGAUCUUCAAAAGCUUGUCUAAAUCUGUCUCUCUCGUUGGUAAUGUCAUCCAAUUCAGCCACACGUUUUAAGUAUAGCUCUUCCUGUAAAAAACAAUGAGACACCACAAAACCAAAGUGCAGUUAAAGAAACUGCCUCUACUUUAGAUUUUAUGCCACUCUUCUUUCUACCAUUUCAAAACUUAUUUUUCCCAGAAUGACCAACAGCCCUGAAACAAAAAAGAAUUGAGAACAAACCCUCCCUCCUUUCACUGUUCACUUCUGACGUGGACUCCCUCAGUCAUUUAAUUAACUUGAAACUGUAAUUAAACAAUGUCUAUUUUAGUAGCUCUGUGCUUCAGGUAAUCUUACAGCUCUGCCCAUAAGAGCUGUGGGUAUUUGGUGCAGAGUAUCUCUCAAACACUCUGGAGAGAAGCAGCUCCCAUCUGCAUUUAAUCAACCUGUCUCAACAGCUACAAAUGGUUCUGCUUGAUACCAUCUAAUAGCACAGAUAGUCAUUGUCUGUCUUUACAUGUCAGCAGUCUGCGUGUAAAGGUUUUUCCUUCUUCCCCUGGGAUGAGGCAAUGCUAGGCAAGAAAACCUGAAUAAAUCCUUAAAAAGCUACAUGUGUUUUGGACAAGACAAAGCCAUACUGUUGUGCUGACACGCAGUGCAAUAUCAAAGCAAUGAAUUCUACUGCUACAUGGCAGUAGCAAAGCUUUACCUUCCUCCUAUAUUCUGCAAUAGCACCAAGGUUGGGUUUCAUUUCAUGGCACUGUGCUUCCAAGAGAGCUAUUUGAUUAGUGAUAAUGUCCGGAUCCUUGAUAGCCUCAAGCUCUUCUUGACUGAGCACUGGGAGUUCUUCGGGUGGCUUAUCUUCUAUGGGAUGCAAUGAUAAUUUUGAUAUCUCCUUUUGCCAGUAUUUAAUCUUCGACUGAUGUGUAGAAAUAUGACUAUCAAUCUGUUCAAUUUUAAACUUGAUAUUAAGAGCUUCCUUUCGUAGUUCGUGUUCAUCAUCCUGAAUAGCUCUCAUCUCCUGCAGCAAAUUGCGGUGCUCCUCCUGAACGGCCGGCAGCGCUUCCUGCAGGAGUGACACACAGAGUGCAUUCCUCAGCUGCCUGGGAAGUGUUACCCAUUCCUCACUUUAU